UACAGAGGUCCCAAGCGUUGUUCGGAUUCACUGGGCGUAAAGGGUGCGUAGGUGGUUAGGUAAGUCUGAUGUGAAAUCUCUGGGCUCAACCCAGAAACUGCAUUGGAUACUAUCUAGCUAGAGGAGUGGAGGGGGGACUGGAAUACUUGGUGUAGCAGUGAAAUGCGUAGAUAUCAGGAGGAACACCCGUGGCGAAAGCGGCUCUCUGGGACGGUACUGACGCUGAGACGCGAAAGCGUGGGGAGCAAACAGG
rnacentral:rRNA from 1 species